rnacentral:rRNA from 1 species
GACGAACGCUGGCGGCGUGCCUAAUACAUGCAAGUAGAACGCUGAAGGAGGAGCUUGCUUCUCUGGAUGAGUUGCGAACGGGUGAGUAACGCGUAGGUAACCUGCCUGGUAGCGGGGGAUAACUAUUGGAAACGAUAGCUAAUACCGCAUAAUAGUAGAUGUUGCAUGACAUUUGCUUAAAAGGUGCAAUUGCAUCACUACCAGAUGGACCUGCGUUGUAUUAGCUAGUUGGUGGGGUAACGGCUCACCAAGGCGACGAUACAUAGCCGACCUGAGAGGGUGAUCGGCCACACUGGGACUGAGACACGGCCCAGACUCCUACGGGAGGCAGCAGGAGGGAAUCUUCGGCAAUGGACGGAAGUCUGACCGAGCAACGCCGCGUGAGGGAAGAAGGUUGUCGGAUCGUAAAGCUCGGUUGUAAGAGAAGAACGAGUGUGAGAGUGGAAAGUUCACACUGUGACGGUAUCUUACCAGAAAGGGACGGCUAACUACGUG